GAUGAACGCUAGCGGGAGGCUUAACACAUGCAAGUCGAAGGGCAGCAUUAUCGCUUGCGAUAGAUGGCGACUGGCGAACGGGUGCGUAACGCGUAUGCAACCUACCCUCAACUGGAGAAUAGCCCAGAGAAAUUUGGAUUAAUACUCCAUAGUAUUACAGAUUCGCAUGUUUUUGUAAUUAAAGUUUUAAUGGUUGAGGAUGGGCAUGCGUGACAUUGGUUUGUUGGUGAGGUAAUGGCUCACCAAGACUACGAUGUCUAGGGGUUCUGAGAGGAUGAUCCCCCACACUGGUACUGAGACACGGCCCAGACUCCUACGGGAGGCAGCAGUAGGGAAUUUUCGGCAAUGGGCGCAAGCCUGACCGAGCAAUGCCGCGUGAAUGAUGAAGGUCUUCGGAUCGUAAAGUUCUGUUGUUAAGGAAGAACAAUUAGUCCAGGAAAUGGGAUUAAUCUGACGGUACUUAACCAGAAAGCUCCGGCUAACUACGUGCCAG
rnacentral:rRNA from 1 species